rnacentral:rRNA from 1 species
AUUGAACGCUGGCGGCAGGCCUAACACAUGCAAGUCGAACGCGUGGCGGACGGGUGAGUAAUGUCUGGGAAACUGCCCGAUGGUGGGGGAUAACUACUGGAAACGGUCGCUAAUACCGCAUACCAUCGGAUGUGCCCAGUUGGGAUUAGCUAGUAGGUUGGGUAACGGCUCACCUAGGCGACGAUCCCUAGCUGGUCUGAGAGGAUGACCCGCCACACUGGAACUGUGAGACUGGCCAGACUCCGACGGGAGGCAGCAGUGGGGAUUAUUGCACAAUGGGCGCAAGCCGGAUGCAGCCAUGCCGCGUGUAUGAAGAAGGCCAUCGGGUUGUAAAGUACUUUCAGCGAGGAGGCGUUACUCGCAGAAGAAGCACCGGCUAACUCCUUGCCAGCCGCCGCGGUAAUAC